CCUACGGGUGGCAGCAGUGAGGAAUAUUGGUCAAUGGGCGUAAGCCUGAACCAGCCAAGUCGCGUGAGGGAUGAAGGUUCUAUGGGUCGUAAACCUCUUUUAUAAGGGAAUAAAGUGUGGGACGUGUCCUAUUUUGUAUGUACCUUAUGAAUAAGGAUCGGCUAACUCCGUGCCAGCAGCCGCGGUAAGACGGAGGAUCCGGGCUUUAUCCGGAUUUAUUGGGUUUAAAGGGUGCGUAGGCGGCCUUUUAAGUCAGCGGUGAAAGUCUGUAGCUCAACCAUAGAAUUGCCGUUGAAACUGGGCGGCUUGAGUAUGUUUGAGGCAGGCGGAAUGCGUGGUGUAGCGGUGAAAUGCUUAGAUAUCACGCAGAACCCCGAUUGCGAAGGCAGCCUGCCAAGCCAUGACUGACGCUGAUGCACGAAAGCGUGGGGAUCAAACAGGAUUAGAUACCCUUGUAGUC
rnacentral:rRNA from 1 species